rnacentral:rRNA from 1 species
UCCGAAUGGCUGCAUCCGACCCGUCUUGAAACACGGACCAAGGAGUGCAACAUGCGCGCGAGUCUUUGGGUGGCAAACCCCUCGGCGCAGUGAAAGCGUAAGCGGGCUCGUCCCGCCGUGGCGAGAGCCUCGGACCUCCGGGCCGGAGGCGCAUCGUCGACCGAUCCCGUUCCACGCCGUGGUGGGAUUUGAGUGAGAGCGUGCCUGUUGCGACCCGAAAGAUGGUGAACUAUGCCUGAAUAGGGCGAAGCCAGGGGAAACCCUGGUGGAAGCCCGCAGCGAUUCUGACGUGCAAAUCGAUCGUCAAAUUUGGGUAUAGGGGCGAAAGA